UUUAGUGGCGGACUGGUGAGUAACGCGUAAGGAACCUACCUAUUAGAGGGGAACAACAAUGAGAAAUCAUUGCUAAUACCGCAUAUGCCAUAACUACCGCAUGGUAGAAGUGGGAAAGGAGUAAUCCGCUGAUAGAUGGCCUUGCGUCUGAUUAGUUAGUUGGUGGGGUAACGGCCUACCAAGACGACGAUCAGUAGCCGGACUGAGAGGUUGAACGGCCACAUUGGGACUGAGAUACGGCCCAGACUCC
rnacentral:rRNA from 1 species